rnacentral:rRNA from 1 species
GGGUUAGGGAGGUCGGCAGCGACGGGGUGGGUACAAAGAGGAGGUGGGGGAGGAGGGAGGAGAGAGAGGAGAGGAGGGAGGGCAGGCGCGCGCGUGCAGUAGGUCGCGAACGCACGAGUGGAGGGCCUGGUCGGCGGCAGCGCGGCGACCCCGAGCAGGCGGCGCCCAAAGGUGCCCCUUCCUCGUCGCUGCCCCGAUCCGGGGUCCGCCACGUGUGAAGUACCCCUCCGUUCCUUGAUCCUCCACUACCACAGCCUAGACCACCACGAUCCAGCCUCGAACUAGGGAGCGGAGGGCUUGGUCGGCAGCGGCGCGGCGACCCCGAACCCAAAGGUACCCCUUAGUCAUGUGUAGUCGUACGGAGGGAGGAAGUAGUAGCAGUAGUCUCGGCGGCGUGGAGAGGAAGGAGGAGCGAGCGUGGGGACGGUGCCACGCGUAGGGAGGGGAAAGCUAGAUUAAAGUAAGAACAAAGUGUACAACCAAACCAACCGUUCUCUGCAACGCCACGGCUGACGUCAUCGGUCACAACCACAACCACUACAAACAUCCAUAAAAGCAGGAGCGGUUAGUGUGUAAAGGAUCCAAUACCCUAACCUAGAGGGAAAAGAUUCUAAGAAUCGACUAUUCAUAUAACACGCCUUUUCAGAGAUAUCAUACUACAACACGUGUAGGUUUAGGUUCGUUACUGGGAAGGUACCACGAGUCGGUGGCAGGCUAAAGUUCCCUCUUAUCCUCUGGGGCUGCUUUUACUCGCAGGAUCGCCGCUUGGGUUCCUACGGCCACUAAUGCCGUCCAGGUACGAGGUCAAGAAGAUAACCCACAAGCGAGUUAAGUACACGAACCCUAAACAAAACUAACUACCUGGAGUUUCGACUACGUUAUUACGUACUUGAACGGUUUUCAGACAACAAUGGUAAUAGAAGAACCCUCAUGAACUCUUCCGCACCGACCCUUACACCCCUGUGCGGUACCAUCUCCGCGCACCAGCCGUCCUCCUCAGUACCUCCGUACUUCCACCUGUACACCUACAAUAGCACCGUAACUGUGUAAAGCGAGGUGGCUACGAUGUAUGGUCCUGCGCAUGCUAAGCGAACUAAGCCCACCCUUGUAAUGUUAGUUCACCCGUGACCUUACUAGUACACUACGUAACAAACUUCAAUUCUGAUUAAGUCAAGUCAGACAAACUUCGAUUCUGUUUAAAGGAACCGUAAAGUGAUCUACACCACAAUUACCGGACUUCUAAAAUAGUCUAAUAGGUGGUAAGUAGGACGUUGGCCUGACCGUUUAUGACAACUUAUACAAGUCUUCGUCUUUAACCUUGUUUCCUUUUGUAGUGUACGAGGCUGGUCUAAUUAAAGGUAGAAUCGAUCUACGGAUCAAUGCCCUUAGCUGGUCUAAUUAAAGGUUGAGUCGAUCUAGCAACGAUACCUCUGUCUACUCAGCAUCCAACCCGUAGCGGGGGAGGAGUUUAGGGUCCUCAUGAGAUACCUAAUGUCUUCUUAACUAAACCCUCUCCCCUCCUCUUGGACGGACCUUCGUUAUACGACGCCGCCGCCCCUGCUCGAUCCACCCGACCCGCGCUGCUCCUGGUUAGACCCCGUCGCUGCUGGUUCGACCCGCCCCCGCCGAUGGUUCGCCCGUGUCGCCGUCGGUUCAACCCGCCCGCGCCGUCGUUGGUUCGCCCGCGUCGCCUCCGGCUUGACCCGUGGACCCUAGACCUGGCUCGCGGACCUGCUUCCCCCGCUCACGGACGUCCGCCCCGGGCUCGCGAACCUGCUUCCCCUACUGCGCUCGAGGACGUCCUCCUUCUGCCGUGCGAUCUCUUCCUUCUGCCCGCUCGAGGACAUCCUUCUUCUGCUGCGCUCGAGACCUCCUCCUUCUGCUGAGUUUAAAGUUUAGCUCCCUAAGCAACCUUCGGUGUGUCCCGUGGGCUCUUCCUCUCCUCCUCUUACGAGACUUCUCUUCUUUACUAUCCAAAAUAACAAAACAAAAUUCUCGUUCCCUCAACUAUACAUCAGGGGACCGAAUAAACAUAAGAUGAUACACAUACCGUUUCUUUAGUACUAAAAUAUGUGUGUAUAUAAAAAUUUGUUUUCGGAUACAUAAAAAACGAGUUUGUGUCAGUAGCCUUUCGCGUGUAUAAAAGUUACGCAUGUACUAAAAUUUACCAAGAAACACUUCUACCAUCGUUUAUAAAACACGAUAGUUUAAUUUUACACAUAUAUAUGUAGAGUAACAUCUGUUGUUAGCUGGUACAAAGAAUAAUUUC